GAUGAACGCUAGCGACAGGCCUAACACAUGCAAGUCGAGGGGCAUCGGGGUGUAGCAAUACGCUGCCGGCGACCGGCGGAUGGGUGAGUAACGCGUAUGCAACCUGCCUUCAGCAGGGGGAUAGCCCGUUGAAAGACGGAUUAAUACCCGUAACACAGGGGCUCCGCAUGGAGAUUAUUGUUAAAGGGAUGCUUCCUUCGGGGAGUAUUCCGGCUGAAGAUGGGCAUGCGUUCCAUUAGGUAGUUGGUUGAGGUAACGGCUCACCAAGCCUGCGAUGGAUAGGGGAACUGAGAGGUUGGUCCCCCAACUGGUACUGAGACACGGACCAGACUCCUACGGGAGGCAGCAGUGAGGAAUCUUGGUCAAUGGACGGAAGUCUGAACCAGCCAUGUCGCGUGAAGGAGGACGGCCCUAAGGGUUGUAAACUUCUUUUGCAGGGGAAUAAAGGUAUUCCACGAGAUGGGAUAUUGCAAGUACGCUGCGAAUAAGGAUCGGCUAACUCCG
rnacentral:rRNA from 1 species